rnacentral:sRNA from 1 species
CUUGGUCAUUUAGAGGAAGUAAAAGUCGUAACAAGGUUUCCGUAGGUGAACCUGCGGAAGGAUCAUUAAAAGCAUAUUGACAUGUUAUCAUGUUAUAUAUAUGAACCCCAUUCCGAGUACAUUACCUGUUGCUUCCGUGAGGCAGGAUUCUAAUCCCCCCGAAGAUGAUGCCUUCCGGCAUCCGCUGAUGGGGAGUCUUCACGGGAGGUAUGCAUUAAACUCUUGUACUGUCAUGUUAUAUCUGUCUGAAUCUGAUUAAUACAAAUGUUAAAACUUUCAACAACGGAUCUCUUGGUUCUCGCAUCGAUGAAGAACGCAGCGAAAUGCGAUAAGUAGUGUGAAUUGCAGAAUUCAGUGAAUCAUCGAAUCUUUGAACGCACAUUGCGCCUCCUGGCAUUCUGGGAGGCAUGCCUGUUCGAGCGUCAUUAAAAACCCCCUCAAGCACCUUUGCUUGGUCGUGGAGGAGGAGCAGGUCUUGGUGCCAUCUCCCCUCCGAAAUUGAAAGGCGGAAAUCCCCAUGUGCCCCGGCGUAGUAUGUAUCUUUCGCUUGGAAUAUGAGGUGCUCCAGCCCAAAAACCCCCAAUUUAUCCAGGUUGACCUCGGAUCAGGUAGGGAUACCCGCUGAACUUAAGCAUAUCAAUAAGCGGAGGAAAAGAAACCAACAGGGAUUGCCUUAGUAACUGCGAGUGAAGCGGCAAAAGCUCAAAUUUGAAAUCUGGCGUCUUUGACGUCCGAGUUGUAAUUUGGAGGGGCAUCUUCGGAGUUGGCACCGUCCUAAGUUCCUUGGAAGAGGACGUCAUAGAGGGUGAGAAUCCCGUGCCUGGGUGGCUGUCCAUCUCCAUGUGAAGUGUCUCCGACGAGUCGAGUUGUUUGGGAAU